rnacentral:rRNA from 1 species
UGGGGAAUAUUGCGCAAUGGGCGGAAGCCUGACGCAGCGACGCCGCGUGGGGGAUGACGGCCUUCGGGUUGUAAACCUCUUUCGACCUCGACGAAGCUUUUCGGAGUGACGGUAGGGGUGGAAGAAGCACCGGCCAACUACGUGCCAGCAGCCGCGGUAACACGUAGGGUGCGAGCGUUGUCCGGAAUUAUUGGGCGUAAAGAGCUCGUAGGCGGUGUGUCGCGUCGGCCGUGAAAACCUGCAGCUUAACUGUGGGCGUGCGGUCGAUACGGGCAUCACUGGAGUUCGGCAGGGGAGACUGGAAUUCCUGGUGUAGCGGUGAAAUGCGCAGAUAUCAGGAGGAACACCGGUGGCGAAGGCGGGUCUCUGGGCCGAUACUGACGCUGAGGAGCGAAAGCGUGGGGAGCGAACAG